rnacentral:rRNA from 1 species
GAUCUUGGUUCAGGAUGAACGGCUGGCGGCGUGCCUAACACAUGCAAGUCGAACGGAGUUACGAGAGCUUGCUUUGUAACUUAGUGGCGGACGGGUGAGUAAUGUAUGAGCAACCUGCCUUUCAGAGGGGGACAACAGUUGGAAACGACUGCUAAUACCGCAUAAUGUGCGAGGGGGGCAUCCCCCAUGUACCAAAGGAGCAAUCCGCUGAAAGAUGGGCUCAUAUCUGAUUAGUUAGUUGGCAGGGUAACGGCCUACCAAGACUGCGAUCAGUAGCCGGACUGAGAGGUUGAACGGCCACAUUGGGACUGAGAUACGGCCCAGACUCCUACGGGAGGCAGCAGUGGGGAAUAUUGGGCAAUGGGCGGAAGCCUGACCCAAGCAACGCCGCGUGAAGGAAGAAGGUCUUCGGAUUGUAAACUUCUUUUAUGAGGGACGAAGGACGUGACGGUACCUCAUGAAUAAGCCGCGGCUAACUACGUGCCAGCAGCAGC